GCUGUGAUGAUUUCUCUUAGCGUGUUAGACUGCUGACGCACAUGAAGAGAGAUUGAAUCUGAGC